CUACCGGGGUAUCUAAUCCUGUUCGCUACCUACGCUUUCGUCCAUCAGCGUCAAUAUAGUAUUAGUGAUCUGCCUUCGCAAUCGGCAUUCUGUGUAAUAUCUAUGCAUUUCACCGCUACACUACACAUUCUAACCACUUCAUACUAAUUCAAGAACUACAGUAUCAAUGGCAGUUCUACAGUUAAGCUGCAGACUUUCACCACUGACUUAUAAUCCCGCCUACGGACCCUUUAAAGCCAAUGCUUCCGGAUAACGCUGGGACCCUCCGGAUUACCGCGGCGGCAGGCAAUUGUUUUGAGGCGAGUCUACACGCAAAGGCGAGACAUAAACCCAACACCCAGCAGAGCUUGAAGGUACAAAGGACGCUCGAGCAGGCAUGCCCCAUGGCAUAGCAAGGGGCGAAAUGUGCGUUCAAAGACCCGAUGACGCAC
rnacentral:rRNA from 1 species